GAUGAACGCUGGCGGCGUGCCUAAUACAUGCAAGUCGAGCGAACAGAUAAGGAGCUUGCUCCUUUGACGUUAGCGGCGGACGGGUGAGUAACACGUGGGUAACCUACCUAUAAUACUGGGAUAACUUCGGGAAACCGGAGCUAAUACCGGAUAAUAUUUCGAACCGCAUUGUUCGAUAGUGAAAUAUGGUUUUGCUAUCACUUAUAGAUGGACCCGCGCCGUAUUAGAUAGUUGUUAAGGUAACGGCUUACCAAGGCGACGAUUCGUAUCCGACCUGAGAGGGGGAUAGGCAAAAGUGGAACGGAGACACGGACAAGAGGACUACGGGAGGGAGCAGAAGGGAAUGUGACGCAAUGGGCGAAAGCAUGACGGAGCAACGGCGCGUGAGAGAUGAAGGUCUUGGGAGCGUAAAACUCGGUUAUUAGGGAAGAAAAUAAGUGUAAGAAAAUGUGCACGGAGUGACGGUAACGAAUAAGAAAGCAACGGCUAACUACGUG
rnacentral:rRNA from 1 species